rnacentral:rRNA from 1 species
GACGAACGCUGGCGGCGUGCCUAAUACAUGCAAGUCGAACGCAUUUUCUUUCACCGUAGCUUGCUACACCGAAAGAAAAUGAGUGGCGAACGGGUGAGUAACACGUGGGUAACCUGCCCAUCAGCGGGGGAUAACACUUGGACACAGGUGCUAAUACCGCAUAAUUCCAUUUACCGCAUGGUAGAUGGAUGAAAGGCGCUUUUGCGUCACUGAUGGAUGGACCCGCGGUGCAUUAGCUAGUUGGUGGGGUAACGGCCUACCAAGGCUGCGAUGCAUAGCCGACCUGGGAGGGUGAUCGGCCACACUGGGACUGAGACACGGCCCAGACUCCUACGGGGGGCAGCAGUAGGGAAUCUUCGGCAAUGGACACAAGUCUGACCGAGCAACGCCGCGUGAGUGAAGAAGGUUCUCGGAUCGUAAAACUCUGUUGUUAGAGAAGAACAAGGAUGAGAGUGGAAAGUUCAUCCCUUGACGGUAUCUAACCAGAAAGCCACGGCUAACUACGUG